GGAUGUGAGGGCAAUCUGACUGUAACAUUUGUCACCCCAUCGAUGGCCAGGGUUGAUUCGGCUAAUCUGGCUGGCUAGGCACCUGUCCCCUCCCUCCCUCACUGCUCCAUGUGGAAGGUGCACGCUCAGCUGAAGAGGAGGAUGGACUGGUCCAGGGUAUAGGAGUAGAUGCACUCCCCUGCCAGAAACUUCAAACAAGUUCUUGAGGUCCACUUGUAGGAUAACGUAGGGUAGUCAGGCUUCCAAGACUCCAGACACAUCUAAAUGAGGCGCUGCAUGUGGCAGUCUGCCUUUCAAA
rfam:Erinaceus europaeus unplaced genomic scaffold scaffold00953, whole genome shotgun sequence